rnacentral:rRNA from 1 species
UGGGGAAUAUUGCACAAUGGGCGCAAGCCUGAUGCAGCAACGCCGCGUGAACGAUGAAGGUCUUCGGAUCGUAAAGUUCUGUUGCAGGGGAAGAUAAUGACGGUACCCUGUGAGGAAGCCCCGGCUAACUACGUGCCAGCAGCCGCGGUAAUACGUAGGGGGCUAGCGUUAUCCGGAUUUACUGGGCGUAAAGGGUGCGUAGGUGGUCUUUCAAGUCGGUGGUUAAAGGCUACGGCUCAACCGUAGUUAGCCUCCGAAACUGGAAGACUUGAGUGCAGGAGAGGAAAGUGGAAUUCCCAGUGUAGCGGUGAAAUGCGUAGAUAUUGGGAGGAACACCAGUAGCGAAGGCGGCUUUCUGGACUGCAACUGACACUGGGGCACGAAAGCGUGGGUAGCAAACAGG